UCCUUCACAAUCGAAGGUCACGGAGAUCAUUACGUAAAAUGUGUCAUGUAGAGGUUGGGUAAGAACGAGACGUGUUAAAUAACCAUUUGCAUUUGGUGUGUAGACCCAUCCCCAGCAACGUCAACCUGCAAAAGGAAAGGACAGUCACACUCGAAGGUCACGGAGAUCUUUACGUAAAACGUAUCAUGCAGUGGAGUAGAGGCUGGGUGAGAACGACACGUGUUGCAAUCAUUAUCAAGCAGGUAAAAUAACCGCAAGGCUUUAGAGGUGAGGGUGAGAAAAAAAUCGUAUAAAAGGCGAGAGAAACGGCGAUAGAAAAUCAGUCGAGUGAGCAUCUCCGGCACGGAAACAACUGCAGCGCAACAUCUGUCACUAUCUGCCUUCUUCACCGUAUUGCCAGUUCGCAACCUUGGGUAUCUAAGGCGUCGUAUGCUGUUGGGUGUUGUAUCGUUGAUAGCUGGGUCGACCACUGGUGUACCGAUGUCUCCUGGGGUAUGGAGCAAACCAAACUGCAACGCUGCCGCCUUAAUACAUAACAACAACAUACGCAACAACCGGUUCCUAGACCACCAAGGUUCCAGAGUAUUACACCACAGUUUAUGAUGCCCAGAGCUGCUACACCGAAUCCCGAAGUAUAGCUGCCCCGAGUUACAUCCCUAGAGAGCCGGACUACUACACCGAUUUUCUAAAGUACUACAUCACUAAGGCACCGGAAUACUACACGACUGCGUAUGCUGCCCCUGCCUACUACACCGAGGCCCCGCAUUACUACAACACCGAAGCGCUCAAGUACUACACUACAACCUACGUUGCCCCGAGCUACUACACCUACGACCCGAAUUAUUACUGUGCGUAAAGGAGUCGUCAAAAAAAGAAGUCGUACCCGAACAGUGCAUUAUCUGUCACCAACUGCAUUCCUCAUCGUGUAACCAUUCGCAAUUAUGGUCAACUAUGGCGUUGUGCUCCUGUUGCCUGUUAGGUGUUGUGUCUUUGAUGGCUGGGUGGACCACUGGUUUACCGAUGUCUCCUGGGCAUGGAGCAAACCAAUCCGCAACGCCGCCGCCUUCCUACACAACUUACGCAACGACCGGUUCCUGCACUGAGGUCUUCCAGUACUACUCCACUAAAGCACCGGAGUUUUAUAUCACAACUUACGCUGCCCCGAGCCACUACACUGACGGCCUGAAGUAUAACUCUGCCCCGAGUUACUACACCAUCUAGGCGACGGAGUACUACACGACUACGCAUGCUGCCUGAAGUUACUACACCAC